rnacentral:rRNA from 1 species
GGAAGCACCCUAAGCGAACUGCCUCAGAUAAUGGGGAGGAAGGUGGGGAUGACGUCAAGUCCUCAUGGCCUUUAUGCCCAGGGCUACACACGUGCUACAAUGGCCGGUACAAAGCGUCGCCAACCCGCAAGGGGGAGCCAAUCGCUAAAAACCGGUCUCAGUUCGGAUUGCAGGCUGCAACUCGCCUGCAUGAAGCUGGAAUCGCUAGUAAUCGCGUAUCAGAACGACGCGGUGAAUACGUUCCCGGGCCU